AAAAGCGAAAGGACAAACACACGCGCGCGCUCGGCUCGCAGAGCAACGGAGGAGAACUCCUGAUGCAAAAUGGAAACUGUGUCAACGGGUAAACACAGGCUCUCGGUGCACGAGGGCAUACGAGUUCAUGGCAGCGCUCAAUUCUAGUGGUCGAGUUCGUUUUGCAAGUCCCGGUGCUCCGGUUUGCAGGAUUUUGCUUAUUUUAGACCACUCUCUUGGUCCUUAGGUGACGUCUUCAUUCAACCGGGGCAACGGACCAUGCAAAACGAACUAGCCUUGUGAAAACGGAUAUGGCUGGCGUAACGUCAGAGCUGGGGCGGGUUCAUGUGAACCAUCUUUAGGACACGGUGAAGAAUGAGGGCCUGAACCCGGUGAACCGCACGACUACUUACUGUACCGGGGCUCUAGCCUGCUUCCUGCUGCGCCGCUCUAUCGGCAGAUAAUUACAUUAAAACCGAGAAUAUAGGUCAGAUUCCUAUUAAAAUGUAAUGUAAAAAGUGUCUAGCCUAGCUAGCCUGCUCUGCUACAUGCAGACCAGUAUCACAAUGAUAAGCAGCCCAGGUCUACAGACAGUAAUCAUAUGUUCCUUUUCAAUUUUAAAUCUCAAUGUCACACAAAAGUAGGUAGCCACUUGCCUGUGUGUGUGCAGAACGUCAAGUUACAUUACCAUGAAUAAUACAACAGUUUAGUGUGUGAGAGAGAGAGGGAGAGUACGUUAUCUGUCAUUAAUUAUAGAACAGUUUAGUGUGGUGUGAGUGACAGAGAGAGACAGACACAGCGAGUGUGCAUUUGUUUGUGAGAGAGGGUGUGUACUGUGAGAAACACAGCGAGAGAGAGAGUGUGCACGUUCAUGCGCGCCUGUGUGUGCUAUACGUACAGUAUGUCCUCUCCCAGUCCGCAGUAGAUAUAGGCCACAGCAUAUGACACAUUCCAUAUGCAAUGGAGAGAACAACGCAGCUGACAGAGAAUGAUCACAGACAUUUUGGCAAAGUGGGUGGGGUCAUAUCCUGCCUGUUUGGACCAGUCCGAGGGUAUCAUUGGAAGGGGCCGCAGUGUCUCCUGACCCCUCCUGUCUCAUCCUCCAGUAUUUAUGCUGCAGUAGUUUAUGUGUCGGGGGGCUAGGGUCAGUCUGUUAUAUCUGGAGUAUUUCUCCUGUUUUAUCUGGUGUCCUGUGUGAAUUUAAGUAUGCUCUUGUAACAGUAUAAUUUUAAACCAUCCCCUCGUCCAUACCCGGGCGCGAACCAGGGACAUUCUGCACACAUCAACAACAGUCACCCUCGAAGCAACGUUACCCAUCGCUCCACAAAAGCCUCGGCCCUUGCAGAGCAAGGGGAACUACUACUUCAAGGACUACCUGGCAUGAUGACUCCUUGAUGUCCCCAGUCCACCUGGCCAUGCUGCUGCUCCAGUUUCAACUGUUCUGCCUGCGGCUAUGGAACCCUGACCUGUUCACCGGAUGUGCUACCUGUACCAGACCUGCUGUUUUCAACUCUCUAGAGACAGCAGGAGCGGUAGAGAUACUCUCAAUGAUCAGCUAUGAAAAGCCAACUGACAUUUACUCUUGAGGUGCUGAUUUGCUGCACCCUCGACAAAUACUGUGAUUAUUAUUAUUUGACCAUGCUGGUCAUUUAUAAACAUUUGAACAUCUUGGCCAUGUUCUGUUAUAAUCGCCACCCGGCACAGCCAGAAGAGGACUGGCCAUCCCUCAUAGCCUGGUUCCUCUCUAGGUUUCUUCCUAGGUUUUGGCCUUUCUAGGGAGUUUUUCCUAGCCACCGUGCUUCUACACCUGCAUUGCUUGCUGUUUGGGGUUUUAGGCUGGGUUUCUGUACAGCACUUUGUGGCACCAGCUGAUGUAAGAAGAGCUAUAUAAAUACAUUUGAUUUGAUUUUAAUCCAAUCACUGAACAAGCCUGUCAGAACCAUAGAUAUUCUAGAGUGUGUCGGUCUGUGUUCUGAUUCUAUCUCUAUGGCCAGAACUGUGGAACAUGGUAACUAUGAGACACCAAGGCCAUUUCAUUCUGUUGAAAACAAUAGUCAUAGCCCAGGUGGGUCGUUGUUAAAAAUGAGACAGAGAGGUUUAGACUAUUGAAAGUGUGUGCGUGCGUAUGUGUGUGCGUUCGUUUGCGUGUGUGCGUGUGUGUGUGUGUGUGUGUGCGUGCAUGCGUUUGCGUGUGUGUGUGUGUGUGUGUUUGAGAUUGUUGAAGGCCAAAUAGGAAUUUCAAAGUAAAAACUUCCCUCCACUGUCUACAGUUCAUCUCAUAUAGUCCUGUAUCUUCUUCAGUCAUCAUUGUCUGUAGGGUGCCAUUUGGUGGGAUACAACGAUUUUCCGUCACCUUCACACAGCAGCAGGCCCAUAAUGUUGGGUAAUCACAACUGUCUGAUCCUAGAUGAUGAAUGAUGUCUGUAAUUUUAUGUAACCCUGUAAUCCCUAAUCUGCUGUUUGCACAAAUGGCUUAAUUGUUUUUUUCCCCUCUUUGUAGCCGUAAGGCUCGAGGUUUCCUUUAGCUACAGCCUUAACGCCCAUUUGAACUGUCUAAACGUCCCUUUAAACUCCAUUCUAACUGUGUAAAUGUCAACUUUAACUGUACAAACCUCCAUUCUAACUGUGUAAAUGAAUGGUAAAGAACAGUGCUCAUAA